rnacentral:rRNA from 1 species
AGUGAACGCUGGCGGCGUGCCUAAUACAUGCAAGUCGAACGGAGUGGCGCACGGGUGAGUAAUGUAUAGCUAAUCUGCCCUACACUAGAGGACAACAGUUGGAAACGACUGCUAAUACUCUAUAGUGUAGGUUGAGGCUAUAUUGUAUCAGCUAGUUGGUUAGGUAGUGGAUCACCAAGGCUAUGACGCAUAACUGGUCUGAGAGGAAGAUCAGUCACACUGGAACUGAGACACGAUCGAGACUCCUACGGGAGGCAGCAGUAGGGUGUAAUACUCAAGGGGGGAAACCCUGAAGCAGCAUCGCCGCGUGGAGGAUGUCCCGGUUCGGAGAGUAAACUCCUUUUGUUAGGGAAGCGGUACCUACCGAAUAAGCACCGGCUAACUCCGUGCCAGCCGCCGCGGUAAUUC